rnacentral:rRNA from 1 species
CUAAUACAUGCAUGUUGAACGGGAUGUAGCAAUACAUUCAGUAGCGAAUGGGUGAGUAACACGUACCUAACCUACCUUUAAGACUGGGAUAACUAUUGGAAACAAUAGCUAAUACCGGAUAUAGUUAUUUAUCGCAUGAUGAGUAAUAGAAAGGAGCUUCACAGCUUCACUUAAAAAUGGGGGUGCGGAACAUUAGUUAGUUGGUAGGGUAAUGGCCUACCAAGACGAUGAUGUUUAGCCGGGCCGAGAGGCUGUACGGCCACACUGGGACUGAGAUACGGCCCAGACUCCUACGGGAGGCAGCAGUAAGGAAUUUUCCACAAUGAGCGAAAGCUUGAUGGAGCGACACAGCGUGCAGGAUGAAGUUCUUCGGAAUGUAAACUGCUGUUAUAAGGGAAGAAAAAAUAGAAUAGGAAAUGAUUUUAUCUUGACGGUACCUUAUUAGAAAGCGACGGCAAACUAUGUGCCAGCAGCCGCGGUAAUACAUAGGUCGCAAGCGUUAUCCGGAAUUAUUGGGCGUAAAGCGUCCGUAGGUUUUUUGCUAAGUCUGGAGUUAAAUGCUGAAGCUCAACUUCAGUCCGCUUUGGAUACUGGCAAAAUAGAAUUAUAAAGAGGUUAGCGGAAUUCCUAGUGAAGCGGUGGAAUGCGUAGAUAUUAGGAAGAACACCAAUAGGCGAAGGCAGCUAACUGGUUAUAUAUUGACACUAAGGGACGAAAGCGUGGGGAGCAAACCAGGAUUAGAUACCCUGGUAGUCCACGCCGUAAACGAUGAUCAUUAGUUGGUGGAAUAAUUUCACUAACGCAGCUAACGCGUUAAAUGAUCCGCCUGAGUAGUAUGCUCGCAAGAGUGAAACUUAAAGGAAUUGACGGGAACCCGCACAAGCGGUGGAGCAUGUGGUUUAAUUUGAAGAUACGCGUAGAACCUUACCCACUCUUGACAUCUUCUGCAAAGCUAUAGAGAUAUAGUGGAGGUUAACAGAAUGACAGAUGGUGCAUGGUUGUCGUCAGCUCGUGUCGUGAGAUGUUAGGUUAAGUCCUGCAACGAGCGCAACCCUUUUCUUUAGUUACUAAUAUUAAGUUAAGGACUCUAGAGAUACUGCCUGGGUAACCAGGAGGAAGGUGGGGACGACGUCAAAUCAUCAUGCCUCUUACGAGUGGGGCAACACACGUGCUACAAUGGUCGGUACAAAGAGAAGCAAUAUGGUGACAUGGAGCAAAUCUCAAAAAACCGAUCUCAGUUCGGAUUGAAGUCUGCAACUCGACUUCAUGAAGUCGGAAUCGCUAGUAAUCGUAGAUCAGCUACGCUACGGUGAAUACGUUCUCGGGUUUUGUACACACCGCCCGUCACACCAUGGGAGUUGGUAAUGCCCAAAGUCGGUGAG